rnacentral:rRNA from 1 species
GACGAACGCUGGCGGCGUGCCUAAUACAUGCAAGUCGAACGCAGUGGGGACGGGUGAGUAACACGUUGGUAACCUCCCAUCAGAGGGGAUAACACUUGGAAACAGGUGCUAAACCGAUACUGAUGGAUGGACCCGCGGUGCAUUAGCGAGUUGGUGAGGUAACGGCUCACCAAGGCCACGAUGCAUAGCCGGACUGAGGGGGGUGUGGGCCACCAUGGGACUGGGGCACGGCCCAGACUUCUGCGGGAGGCAGCAGUAGGGAAACUUCGGCAAUGGGGGGAAACCUGACCGAGCAACGCCGGGUGGGUGAAAGAGGGUUUCGGGUCGUUAAGCUCUGUUGUUAAGGGAGCGGUACUUAACCAGAAAGGGACGGCUAACUACGUGCCAGCAGCCGCGGUAAUUC